UGCUGAGCAAACGCCUGCCUUGAAGUGGAAGUUAUUUUAUGCAUCCACUGGAGUCCUCUAAAGCCAUUUCCUCUGGGACCUCUGGGGACACUCUGGGCAUCUAUUUUCUCAGCAAUACCAAUGUGACAUGAGGGAGACCGUCUCACAGCCGCUAGGACAGAAGGUGGAAGAAUGCAAACGCUGAAACAUUUUUCAGUUUGUCCUGAUUAUCUUUCCUCCUCCAGCAGUUUUAUUAGGGUUCAUAAAUUCUUCUUUAAAGCACUCAUUCCCCCAUGCAUUUUAACCCUCGGCAGCCUUGGAGGUCACUGUAACCCUGUGGGGUUGGUGGCUGUCCAGGAGAAGCCACCCUGCCCCAUCACAGCUGGCUCUGACCGAAGAGAAUGGAAAUCACUGCACAAAAAGGGCUCUGAGGCACAUGGAGCCCUUCCACUGGCUCAAGUGUAAUAUAAAUAACAACCUUAAUCAUGCAGUGAAAUUGGUGGGUGAAGAUAUGACUGAGGAAUCUGAUAUUGCUUUCAGAAGAUUUUCAGUGCAUCAGUGCUGCUCUCCCCAGCGUGGCAGGAAAGCAUGGAAAAUUCCUCCAUCACCACUGCUUGGUGCCCUCCUAUAAUGAGUAGUCGUUGAGGUAAUAGUAACCCUUUUGGCAAAAGCACUUGCUCCAUGGAAAGCCAGGAUAUAUCCAGUAAUGCAGGGGAGUGCCAUAAAGCACAGCUCAGUAGGAACCUGUUAAAGCGAUAACCUCUGCUGGCCCGGCACGCUGCUUCACCAACAGUCCCCAGCUCAUGAAGGCAGUGAUGCUAAGUGAAAUAUUCAGGGGAGGUUAAGGUCGGAUAUUAGGAACAGUUUCUUCUCAGAAAGAGCACUGAGGCACUGGAAUGGGCUGCCCAGGGAGGUGGUGGGAUCGCCAUCCCUAGAGGUGUUCCAGAACCAUGGAGAUGUGGCACUGAGGGACGUGGGCAGUGGGCAUGGUGGGGUGGGCUGGGGUUGGACUUGGGGAUCUGAGUGGUCUUUUCUAACCUGAAUGAUCGUAUGAUUAGGUAGCUGCUGUUUGUUAGGCAGUCUUAUUCUUGUGGCAGUCUUAUUCUUGUGUCCCCUUGGGAGAACAGCCCUGAAGGCUGGUGGCCUUGAACUGGCAGCUUCUGCUGUGGACAUCAUCCCCUCCUUCCCAGUUUGACCUUCUACCAAGCCCUGAAGCAGGCUGAUUUGAGAUCAAUUCUUGCAACUAUAGCUUAGCAAUCCAUUUGGCUGCGUGGUUUUAUAGCCAGUACAAUAGGAUACAAUUAGUUUGUCAUGCACUUGGUGCAUUAUUCGCUUGCUGUUUGCUGCAAAGGAGGAGAAAGCCGAAAAAGUACAGUGGUGAGCUAUGUUGCUUUGGAACAAAAUAUUUACAUUUUCCACAUUUCCCAUAAGGCAUUAGCACUCUUCCAAAUGUGACACAGGAGAAGCAAAUGCUUAGUGGUCUGCGGAUCUAACAUUUGCUUAAGUACCAUGACAUAUGUGCGUAUGUGUGUACACACACGAGAUAUUUUAGUUCUACUAUUUAAAUUAAGGGUGGGAUACCCUUCAGCACUGCAUUUCUCAGCAUAUGUGUUCUUAUGUUCACUUAUUCUUUGUUUCUGCCAAUGCCUAAAUAAGGAAUACUAAACAGCCACAAAUAUGCAGCCAGUGGAGACGCAGGAAUUCACUGGGAGGGAGCGAAUGCUGAUCUUGAGCUGAUAGGUUUGCAAGGGAAAGAGUCACUGCAGCUGCAGGAGAGAUUUCUGUGGUGGUAUCUGUCUGUAAUGCACAUCACAGCCCCGCUUUGCCUUCAGGGCAAAGCUGAAGCUUUUAGAUGGAGAGCAAGUCGUUUCAAUGCCACAUCAGGGAUAUAUGUAUAUAUAUAUCCACAUAUAUAUACACACACAUAUAAGAAGCACCUGUUUGCACAAUGUUGAUGGUAUUCUCUGCAGCUCUGAGCUGGAACACUGGGCUUGCAAGGAUGCCCAGAUGGGCUGCGUGUGCAGGCAUAGGGGACCACACAUACAUGCCUACAUUUAUUCCCAUUAUUCCCUUGACUUAGAGCUUUAAAGUCACCUCCUCAGUCUCAUGCCAGCUACACAAUGUAAGGAUGACACAGUCAGGCCUUAAAUUUCCUACCUUUAGGAAAAUGCACAUGAAUUUGACCUCACAUUUGUUUUUCUGGUCAAAAAAUGAAAAGUCUAUGGGAAAGCAGCUUGUCCUGGAGCUCACUGCACUGGAGUAUUUCCUGUUAAAGUACAAUGAUCAGCUUGGAAAUUAAAGGGCAGAGAUGUCCCAGUUUGCUUUUCUAUGAUAUCUCUACACUCAUAGUGAUUGAAAUUGCUUUUGUGAUUCUUAUUUUAAAGCUGGAGCAAUUUAAGCACCAAGUAUCUGCUGUAGUGGAAAUGCUGAGUCACAGCCUGAAGCAGUGAUGGAGCACCUGGUGGAAAGGCAGGGCCAACCCAGGGGAGCUCAGGUGCAUGCAGUGCACCUGAGUGAUUGGAAGGGAUGGAGCCACCCCUUCCCAGACCUCAUUUAAGGGUUGGCAGUGGAGGUGAGGGCAUCUCUUGUCUGCCUACCUGAGGCCUUCUAAAGGCAAAUAGCUCUUUUCUUUCAUUUUUGCAUCUGUGGCUGCUGCACUUGGGCUCACUCUCAUUUGCUGCAGCCAAAGACUUUGCCACCCUACUAUUACCAGCCCAUUAUAGCAUUAUGCCUGCUUGCCAGUUUUUUGCCUGUUCCUCGGGUUCUCUGAGAGUACAAGGAACAACACCUUUUCAGAGUGGGUUCUGCUUUCUGUCUUUUCCCACCUUUGUCCACGCAGCAUACCUAAAUGUUUCCUCACCUCAGUCCUUACAGGGACGUUGUUGGCCAGGAGAGAUCUGUAAUGCAGAGGUUGGGCAAAUCAUACAAUCACUAUGAUUGGAAAAGGCCACUAAGAUCAUCAAGCCCAACUGUCAGCCCAUGCAUGCCCGCUGACCACGUCCCUCAGUGCCACAUCCCCACGGUUCUGGAACACCUCCAGAGACAGUGUGAUAUCACCAGUUGGACUGGAUGAUCUUAGUGGUCUUUCCCAGCCUUAAUGAUUCCAUGAUAAUAUGUUAUGUAACAAUUAUAGUAUAAUAUAAAUUGUAUUUAAUGGAGAUGCUGCUCUGGGUGUGAUUCAGCUGCAAGGGAAUCCAUCCCAUCUCUUGCAGGGUUUGUGGGGUUGGUAUGUGAUUUCCAUGCCACUGUGCGUGCACCACUAUACACAGCACAUUGCCCCAUCUUUGUUGCUGCGCUGCCCAACUCUCAGCUCAGGGAAAGGAAAGUCUGAGCUGAUAAGAAAGAUAACUGUUCUGAAGAAGGGAGGCAGAGGUUAAGGAGUGCCAUCUUUUGCGAUCCAUGAUUUGAGGUGGGAGCUUGCAGCCAGGUCCCCUCCGUGCCCAUUCUUCUGCCCUCUUCGCAUCCUCUCCUCCCAUUUUCCACCCCACCCUUGGAGAGGGGUAUGUCUGCUUACCUCCCUUUGCAGCAAGGGCAGAGGAAGAUGAGGAGCUUGGCUGGGGCAUGGAUGGAGCAGCCCAGGGUGCAGCAUCAACAGCCCCAGCCCCUACUCCCCCCCAGGCAGCAUUUGCAAAAGAUCAAAGCGUGCAGCAAAAAUAGCAAAAGGGAAGAGCUUGUGGGUUGGACAUCUGGAGGCCAGAAGCAGCUCCUGCUUUUGAGUAGGCAAGAGGUGAAGGAGGAAGGGUAAAAAUGGGUUUACGGUCUCGCUUCUUUUACUGGGAUUAAAAACUUCUUAUAAAGUUAUAUGGUUUGCUGUUAUUUGAGAAAGCAGUGUCCUAUGUCUCUGUAAGGUCCUAAUUUCAGAAGCAGGGAUGCUAAUGACACCUAUAAAAAUAGAGAGGUGGGUAUUUUCUGGCAGUCACAAUGCUGAUUUAUCUGUGGUGCAUCAUCUGACAACCUUAUUUUUAUUCCAAGGGGCACAAGGAGGCUCCUGGGAAAUGUCUGUGCUGCUAAGCUGAAUAAAGCAGGUGCUAUUUCCUUUUGCAGCUGGAUGUUUUCAACUAUAAGAACUCAGAAACAAGCCCAAACCUAAGGGGAUGGCUGGGUCACAGCCCAGUUUUUCAAAGCCUUUGCAAAGAAACUGGAGACAGACAGACUAGAAGUCAAAGUCCAACCUCUGGACAGUGCUGCCAAGUGUGCAAUCAAAUAUUGUGCCCAUUUCCACCAAAUAAGUGUGCCAGUGUCAUUGCAAUGCAUUAACGUACAAACAGUACAUUGCAACGUUGGGUUCACUCUGCAAAUGGAGCUGAGUGAGCAAAGUGUUUCACGCCAUUAUGUGUGUCCAAAUGGGAUGAAAACCUCUGGAGGCAGCAUAGCGGGACAUUCUCUGGUGAAAACAUUUACCAUGGAAAAAUGCAAUUUGCAGGGGAUGAUUUGCAUCCAGCACGAUGAACAAUUUUGGCCACAGGAAAAAUAAGCUGAAGUGGAGGGAAGGAGGUUGGAAUGGAAACAGACAGAUUUGAUUGGUUUUCUUUUAACAAAAGAAGCCGUAAGUUAAACACUCUGUUUGUGACAAGAUGUACCAUCUUAUCCCAGGCAGGUUGGAAUUCUUUUUCUUUCCAUCUUUUUCCUUUUUGAUUUUUCCCUUCUCUGUUCAUUCUGUUGGGAAAUGUUUUGUGGAUCAUGGCAUGGGGAGGUUUGGGACUCUCUGUGUUCCUUUCUGAGCUUCAUCAUCGUUAUCACUUUGCCAUUGUUUGUCUUGAUGUAGGAUCAACAACUGUCUCUCUCCUUGGUCAAAUGGUGGAACUGCUUCUUUCCUCUUCCAGUUUUGCCUCCUGGUCAUUAAAGUGGGAAAUAUCUCUCAUUCAUUUGCAUUGGUUUGACCUGUGCUCCUGGUUUGCUUUCCCAGCUAGGGACAUGGUUGUUGCUCCCAGCCAAGUGCCAGGUGUAUGGCAUGUGAUGACACCAAGCCCUGCCAGGUUGCAUGUUUCAAUGCUUGUGUUGUGCCACUUUCAUUAGCGCACUGAUUAACCAUUUCCCCGUGGUCUAAUGAAUUCCACUUGCCCAUCGCUCACUGAGCAUACCCAGAAAUCACAGCAUUGGGCAAUGCUCACUGGGAUACUUAAGGAAGAGGAGGGGAAAAAAAAAUGAAUGUGCGAGUGCUGGAUUGGGCAGGAAUGGGGGGAUGAAGAAAUUCAAACAUUUUUUUUUCUUCUUUCAGUGGUGAGGGCAGACAAGGCUGAUAGCUGCCUCCGUGUGAAACUGGAGCUAUAUCCAGGAAUGGUAUUUAUAUGCACGGAUGUAGCUUUCAAUCAGGAUGAUGUAAACACUGCUGCAGAAUUUUUUGACCAGGCUGUUUGGGAAACGUGAUGGAUUAAAUAUGACAAACAAGAUUCCUGGACGUUUAUUUAUCCGCCUUUUCAUUUGUGCCAGUUUCAUGUUAGGCAAGGCUCUGGCUACCAGACCGAUGCUAAGCCCUGAGGGCAGGCAAGGCUGGGGGGAGGGAGCCACAAAGAGAGUGUUUUCCAAGCCUCAUCUAAUUUAAAGCAUCUUUUGCUAAGUGGUGCAGCGAAGAGGAUGUGGCUAACACAAAUAAAAAAAUCAUAAA
rnacentral:lncRNA from 1 species